UGGUGAAGAAUGUGGCAAGGUCGAUUACUGGUCCAGUUCCGGCGAAGGUUCCUGGUUUCCUGCUGUUAGAGAUGACGUGACACCAUGACGUCAGUGGAGGAUUUUCUUGGCUGCAGUUGCUGGACAACAGUGUUAUUAGUGGAAUAUUGAGUGAUUAUUUUAGUUAAAUUUUAACGUAAAGUGCUUACUGUGCG